AGGAUCGAGGAGGAGCUGGGCGACGCUGCGGUGUACGCUGGCCUCAAGUUCGCCUGACUUCCAUCAAAGUGUAAUCAUGUUGUACACAGUACACUGUUCUCCAUCGGCGUCGACUCCCAAGCAGCUGGCAUGACGAGCACUGCACAAGGUCCCUGCUGCCUGCUGACUGUCAAUGGCUCCCUUCCCUGCUGCAGGUCGUAGUUGAAAUAGACCCACAAGACAGAAAUCAGCUCCGGAUUAGUCCUUCCGAAGCUGAGUUAUUUUACAUCAGUUUACCCCCUUUUAGCAGCUGCCAUUUUUUUCGGAGGAGAAAUUCAUUCUCAGAUCACAAGAACCACAGAACCACAGAACACCAAGGGUAGCAGAUUCUCGCUACUCCUACUUCAAGAAUAGCGUGGCCUCCGAA